CGGAGCAGCGCCUGGCCACACCCCCCGGGCCGGCUUUUUCUAGGGCUGCUGCGGGCCACUGGGCGCUGGCUGCUCCUGCUCGCCUCUUGGGGUGCGCUCAGCUCCAGCCCAGCUCCAGCCCAGCUCCAGCCCGGCUCCAGCCCUGCACCAGCCCAGCUCCAGCCCUGCACCAGUCCGGCUCCUGUUCUUCUCCAGCAGACGCCUCGGAGCUCCGCGCCUCGACCCCCAGAUCGCCCCUCGACUUUCGGUCCCUAGGUCGCUCGGUGUCCCGCACCCCACGACCUCGCGCGCUCCCAAGUCCCUGUGCCCGCUCUUCUAACCCCACAACCCCGUCGCAGUCCUCCGCCCUUUCUCGCUCUCCAUCUGUCAGUAGGUCUGUCUGUCUGCCUCCCCACCCUCCUUUUCCUUCCUCUCACCCGCUCUGCCGGCUUGUUCGCUAGCUCGACUUGGCAGAGCAACUUCGCAGGAAAAUCCCAGAAACCUUUGCAGAAAGCUUACAAUGAAAUUUAAGAAGUUCUACGAUUUCGGCGCCAUUUUCGAGUGGAGUGAGAGGUGACUUGCGAUCUUAAAAAAAAAAAAAAAAAAAACAGGGGGAAGGAAACUUUUGGCUGGCCUCCCCCCCCCCCCCCCGCCCAACUAUGACUCUGUAACAGUGAGUCUGUAACAGAUUCAAUUCGGGGAUAAUUUGGGGGGAAAAAGUUCUGUGUCGCUCUGGGUGGGGUGGGGGCGGAAAGAGUGGGGGGGUCAGAAAAUAGACUGAGAAGGGUGAACAGGGAGGGGCAGGAGAGAAAAGUGAGUGAGGGGCAAUGGCCUGCUGUCAGCCCCGCCAGGGUGGGGAGCGACUGCUUUUGACAGACUGUAAAUGGACUUCAGGCAACUCUCUCAUUUGUAAGCAGCGAAGACUGCCCUGGAAAGAAAUGUAAAAUUCAUUGUAUAUUUCUCUCGCUAACUAAAACUUUUCAAGGUUGUUUAGCUUUUCCAGUAUGAAACUCGACAUUGGAAAAGUUUGGCUCGAAGGUGCGGAGGACGUGUACAUCGUGCGUUUUGGGUGUGGGGGCGCACACAUCUGCGACAUUGAAAGACAAAACGUUCUCAACUGGGAAGAGAGGAAGAGGCGUAUUCUUUGGCUCUUAAAUCAUUUGGCCAAACACAUCGCAGUUCUGAAGGGGGUGGGGCCAUGGCAACUCUAAAGUAUUGAUUCUUUGUCUAUUGUAUCAGCGAAUGACCCUCUCCAGAAGUGACCAGACGCUUCUUUGUGUUCUUCUUUAGGCGACCACCGAUGGUUUUUUUCCUCCAUUCCGUGUCCAUGAGAAAAUGAUUUGUAAUAUAGCCAAGACAAGCUGGGAUUUAGAAACUCGUUCCAACUUAAGGAGUGGGGCUAUUAUUAUUAAUGACUUUAUUUAUCAUGACCUUAUGGCUUUAUUAUCAGUGCAUUUGUUAGCGCUGGAUCACAAUCUGUUGUGUUAGGAAUUUUGUACUUAGUUUAAUUACAUACUCUGUAUAUUUAAUUAAUUAGUUAAUUAAUUAGUAGGACCCAGCAUUCAUUGUAGUAGUUUUGAAAAUCUGACAUAAUUUUAAAUGAAAAUAAGGAAAUUUGGCGACAUUAAAUCUUUGUUUAUGUAUACAGAAUGUACUUUUACUUUCAAAGGCACUAUAGUUUUAUUGUUUUAAUUAUUAGGUUUGUGGUUAAGUAGUGAAGGAUUUUUUUGGUUUGUGCUUUCUUGAAUGUUUUGUUUAAGCAAAAGGAAAUGAAUGAAUGUAAUUUAUUGCUCCGGUGUCCAUUUUGAAAAUCAAGAGGGGGGGGGCCUGAACAGUGCCGGCCAUUUCAAGAAAUGAGUUUCUGUGGAGUUGCUUGAGAAGGAGCCAUUUUAACAUCAAGUACUUAAAGUUGUUGAUUUGUGAUUUGAUAAGUGACAUUGAUAAAUGUCAAUUAUUUAUAAAGUAGUUUGAGUAACCAGCAAUGUAUGAAGACAUCUAGGGGUUUCAAUCUAGAACAUUCUCAUGCUUUGUCCUUAUAACUAAUGGCAGACAAGGUGUUUACUGUUAGAAUGGAGGAAACUACUAGCCAUAAGUUAAAAGCAACUGGUCACCCAGAGGGUUUUUUUAAAUCAAAAGUUCCUUACAUUGAUUCCAAUAAAUGACCCCAAACUGGGGACAAUAAAUGACACUUAUACAAUGCAGCAGGAAGUUUCACCGAGACUUUGGAGCUGGCAAGAGUGAUCCAGAUGUUACCAAAUUGUCUCAAUUUAAUUAAUCUCACUUUUCAUCUACUUUCUGAGGUAAGAGUCUCCCUACCCCAUUAUCUGCCAUAGCCCUGCUUUCCACCAAUACACUUUCCCAAUGUUCAUGGUGAGGAGGUGUGAAAGCCACACCCUGCACCUCACCAGCAGAUCCUGGAAAUCUGACAAAGUCGUAAGAAGAACUGGCUUAUAAAAAGUCCAUCAUCUUCCAGUCAUAAGUCCUAAGAAGCAUACAUUGUACUUAAUUUUCACCAGGGGGCAGGGCAAGGAGAGGCUCCCUUCAACUCACGGAGACUUUCUUCAUUCGCAGGUACCCUGAGCGACCCCCACCUUUGC
rnacentral:lncRNA from 1 species